rnacentral:sRNA from 1 species
GCCUAGCCCUGAUCGAAACGGCAUCCUUUUAUGGCGGGUUUUGCCAUAAAAGAUAUAGUGGAGAGCAGGACAAAUG